rnacentral:pre_miRNA from 1 species
GAGACACCUCUCCAGGGCAAGACUUGCUUCAAUGGGGCUUUGGUGCUCACUGAGUCUGCCCCCUGAGUGUGUCCUU